ACGAACGCUGGCGGCGUGCUUAACACAUGCAAGUCGAGCGGUAAGGCCCUUUCGGGGGUACACGAGCGGCGAACGGGUGAGUAACACGUGGGUGACCUGCCCUCAGCUCUGGGAUAAGCCUGGGAAACCGGGUCUAAUACUGGAUAUGACUCCAUGACGCAUGUUGUGGGGUGGAAAGCCUUGUGCGGCUGAGGAUGGGCCCGCGGCCUAUCAGCUUGUUGGUGGGGUGAUGGCCUACCAAGGCGACGACGGGUAGCCGGCCUGAGAGGGCGACCGGCCACACUGGGACUGAGACACGGCCCAGACUCCUACGGGAGGCAGCAGUGGGGAAUCUUGCGCAAUGGGCGAAAGCCUGACGCAGCAACGCCGCGUGGGGAUGAAGGUCUUCGGAUUGUAAA
rnacentral:rRNA from 1 species